GACGAACGCUGGCGGCGUGCUUAACACAUGCAAGUCGAACGGUAAGGCCCUUCGGGGUACACGAGUGGCGAACGGGUGAGUAACACGUGGGUGAUCUGCCCUACACUUCGGGAUAAGCCUGGGAAACUGGGUCUAAUAUCGGAUAGGACCCUGGGAUGCAUGUCCUGGGGUGGAAAGCUUUUGCGGUGUGGGAUGGGCCCGCGGCCUAUCAGCUUGUUGGUGGGGUGAUGGCCUACCAAGGCGACGACGGGUAGCCGGCCUGAGAGGGUGACCGGCCACACUGGGACGGAGAUACGGCCCAGGCUCCUACGGGAGGCAGCAGUGGGGAAUAUUGCACAAUGGGCGCAAGCCUGAUGCAGCGACGCCGCGUGAGGGAUGACGGCCUUCGGGUUGUAAACCUCUUUCAGCACCGACGAAGCGCAAGUGACGGUAGGUGCAGAAGAAGGACCGGCCAACUACGUGCCAGCCGCCGCCGUAA
rnacentral:rRNA from 1 species